UACGGGACGCUCCAGUGGGGAAUAUUGCGCAAUGGGAGAAACCCUGACGCAGCGACGCCGCGUGUAGGAAGAAGGCCUUCGGGUCGUAAACUACUGUCAGGAGGGAAGAAACUGUUUAGGUCGAAUAGGCCUAUUCACUGACGGUACCUCCAGAGGAAGCACCGGCUAACUCCGUGCCAGCAGCCGCGGUAAUACGGAGGGUGCGAGCGUUAAUCGGAAUCACUGGGCGUAAAGCGUGCGUAGGCGGCGCAGCAAGUCAGACGUGAAAGCCCUCGGCUCAACCGAGGAAUUGCGUUUGAAACUGCUGUGCUUGAGUCUCGGAGAGGUUGGCGGAAUUCCAGGUGUAGGAGUGAAAUCCGUAGAUAUCUGGAGGAACACCGGUGGCGAAGGCGGCCAACUGGACGAGUACUGACGCUGAGGUACGAAAGCGUGGGGAGCAAACAGGAUUAGAUACCCCUGUAGUC
rnacentral:rRNA from 1 species